CCAUUGGCACAUAGGUCCAGAUGAUUGUAAAGUGAACAAUCAUACAAUACAGAUUGGUGGUCCAGGUCCUCCACAUUGUUGUUGGUCAUUGUGAUGUGUGCAUUCUGUUCAAUUAGAUACAUUUUUCUAUAGAACGACACAUUGUUGUGAAAGAUGGAUGAGUAUCUGUCCUGUGUAUCUGUAUGAUUUUGUUCAUUAACUUCAUUGUAGUGAUAUGGUGUGGUAUGUGUUGCUCUAGUGACCUUUGAUUGUCAUUCAUACAAGGUGGGACUCUUGCUGGGCUCUUGAGCCAUCCCAGACAAGACUGGAUUUGUUAAAAAUUACAACAGAAAGACCAUUCGGAGGCAAUGGAGAAGGAUGGAAUUGGAAAAGAGGAGGGCUCCUGAUGCUGAAAGUGGUGUGCCUGGUUGUCAGGUGAUUCUGCUAAAAUAUAGGAAAAGGCUUCAUUUGUAACAUUGAGUUACCACAAUGACAUCAUUUUUUGAUAAUGACUAUGAAAGCCAAUUUACUAGCGGCUAAGUGUCCUGUAUGCUCAAAACAAAAAGGUGCCUGAAUGUGCAGCUCAUAUAUACAAACCAACAUCUAAAUAAAGUAGCGGGAGAAAAAAAACAUAGCACCCUACUAAAUUUGAUCUCAUCCACAGCUUUCUCUUAAGCGUCUCAACCCAUCGCGCUUCUGUAGUGUGACUGGUAUGGAGCUAAUAUUAAUUGACUGGGGGGCUCAAUGUCGUCGAAGCUGUCUUUAGUUGAAGGAAAAAUAACCAGCAUUACACGCUGUUCGCUAUUUUCAAGGUCUUCGAUUGAGUAAAUCUUUCAGGGAAAAGAACAUAAUUUGCUGACUGAUGUAGUAUCCACGUAAGUCUCCCUGACAGAGUGGUGUGUUAGAACAACGUUCAGCUGGCUGCUGUGAAGUGCCUGUUGACCAUCUCAACAGCCCAGCUGCCAUGGGAGAGCUAUAUUUAGGAGCUGCCUCCCCGUCUCCCUGCUCCCUGUCACUCCGUUCUUCCUCCCUCCCGUACCACCCUGCCUCCAGUCGGAUAGACCCUGGACCUCCCCAGGACCCCCCUCCCAUCACCCCUUUGACUCUCCUCACUUCUCCGACCCGCUUUGUCAACUGA
rnacentral:lncRNA from 1 species